rnacentral:rRNA from 1 species
GAUGAACGCUGGCGGCGUGCUUAACACAUGCAAGUCGAACGAUGAAGCCCAGCUUGCUGGGUGGAUUAGUGGCGAACGGGUGAGUAACACGUGAGUAACCUGCCCUUGACGCUAGGAUAAGCCCGGAAAACUGGGUCUAAUACUGGAUAGGAACGUCUACCGCACGGUGGGUGGUGGAAAGAAUGUCGGUCAUGGAUGGACUCGCGGCCUAUCAGAUUGUUGGUGGGGUAAUGGCUCACCAAGGCGACGACGGGUAGCCGGCCUGAGAGGGUGACCGGCCACCAUGGGACUGAGACACGGCCCAGACUCCUACGGGAGGCAGCAGUGGGGAAUAUUGCACCAUGGGCGAAAGCCUGAUGCAGCGACGACGCGUGAGGGAUGAAGGACUUCGGGUUGUAGACCUCUUUCAGUAGGGAAGAAGCGAAAGUGACGGUACCUGCAGAAGAAGCACCGGCUAACUACGUG